rnacentral:lncRNA from 1 species
AUGGUGUCGCACAUUCAGAAUCCAAAAGCGAUCCCCAAUAAGAGCCCCCCAAACUUAGCUAUCUGCAUUCUGCUUUCGUUUCAUGUAGGUUGUUGCAGGAGAUUGGAAGGAGACUGCUGGUCAGCUGGUACCCUGGAAGAAGGGGAUACAGAAGAUGAAUGUGGCGAAAGAACCUAAGGCACCUCUGAUCGCUGCUUGGAUGCACCCCCAUGUGUUGUUCCAGAGCUCUGCAAUGCUUCCUCCACCAUCGGGCGUGAGGACAUACUCUCCAGCCUUUCCCAAGACGUUGUGGUGAGGGGCGAGCCUACACUGCCCACAGAGCAUGGGUGGUCCCAUCUCUCCUGACUGAAAAUCGACUGUCCAAGGUAAAUUAGCAUCUGCUGAACCUUAAAUUGCAGGGCAGGACUCUGGAAUGCCUUCGCCACCAACUUUCUCCAUCAGCAUUUAGGGCUAGUGGGAAAGUGACUGUUUAUUUUCUUUUGUUUUUACAUUUUUGGGUUAGCUUUACUGCUAUGGAAAAAUAAGAUAAAUAGUUUCACAGUUAUGGAGAGUGGCUGGUGCAAAGACUCAAACGUGCCAAGUUUAUGAACAGGAAAUUGAAGCCAGUGGUGCUUCUCAGUGACCCAGAUGCUCCCAGCCCACAAGGUCUCUCUGGGUCUGAAUCCUCCCAUUUUUCUCUUUUGUCCUAUGAAAGCACAUGUGAAGGGCAGAGCUAUGUUUUAUCAAGAAGCCAUUCCUCUCUUGUUUGUUGACAUUUCGUCAUAGCCAUUCCAGUGGCCAUCUACAUCUCCUAUUUAUACUCUGUCACUCAUAAGGGGUGGGUUUUAUCCUCUCUGCAGCUUCCCCCUCCUCCUCCUUUCCAUUGCUGAUUCUUCAACAAAGGCUCACAUUUGCUGAUAUUGUGCUGGUACGGUGCCCUGGCUGGCUUCUGUUCUGGAUAAUUGGUGUCCACGUCAUUAGAGUCAUUAGGUAUUUUAAAUGUCUCCCUUCCUGGGACCAGCCCUCACUGCCUCUCCAUUCCCCUUUAUACAGCCAUCUUCCUGUUCUUCUCAGGCCACCCGCCACCUUAUCAUGAGAUACUUCCUCCAUUUGAAUUUGACAGUGCUCCACUGAGAUCUGGACCUGGGGUUACCCUGCUCAUAAAACUCUGACAUUUCCCCUUCACCUUCCAAACUUG